AAAUUGAAGAGUUUGAUCAUGGCUCAGAUUGAACGCUGGCGGCAGGCUUAACACAUGCAAGUCGAACGGUAACAGGAAGCAGCUUGCUGCUUUGCUGACGAGUGGCGGACGGGUGAGUAAUGUCUGGGAAACUGCCUGAUGGAGGGGGAUAACUACUGGAAACGGUGGCUAAUACCGCAUAACGUCGCAA
rnacentral:rRNA from 1 species